UAAUGGCAAGCAGGAAGGACGAGGUGGUGUGCGUUACAGGGGGAAGCGGCUUCAUAGGUUCAUGGCUGGUUCGUCUUCUCCUCGACUGUGGCUACACCGUCCACGCCACCGUCAAAGAUCUCAAUGACGAGAGAGAAACGAAGCAUUUAGAAGCCCUAGAAGGAGCAGAUUCGCAUCUCCGUCUCUUCCAGAUCGAUCUCCUUGACUAUGAUUCCCUCCUAGCUGCCAUCAAUGGCACCGUCGGUGUCUUCCACCUGGCUUCCCCCUGCAUUGUCGAUCGAGUUCUGGAUCCCCAGAAGGAACUUUUGGAGCCGGUGAUCAGUGGGAAGAUAAAUGCACUAAAAGUGGCGAAGAAGUGCAGGGUGAGGCGAGUGGUGGUGACCUCAUCGAUAUCCGCCAUCAUUCCCAGCCCCAACUGGCCUGCCGAUG